rnacentral:rRNA from 4 species
AAACUUUCAACAACGGAUCUCUUGGCUCUCGCAUCGAUGAAGAACGCAGCGAAAUGCGAUAAGUAAUGUGAAUUGCAGAAUUCAGUGAAUCAUCGAAUCUUUGAACGCACCUUGCGCUCCUUGGUAUUCCGAGGAGCAUGCCUGUUUGAGUGUCAUGA